AGAGUUUGAUCCUGGCUCAGAAUGAACGCUGGCGGCAGGCCUAACACAUGCAAGUCGAACGGGUCCUUCGGGACUAGUGGCGGACGGGUGAGUAACGCGUGGGAACAUACCCUUUGGUACGGAAUAGCCUCGGGAAACUGAGAGUAAUACCGUAUGUGCCCUUCAGGGGAAAGAUUUAUCGCCAAAGGAUUGGCCCGCGUUGGAUUAGGUAGUUGGUGGGGUAAUGGCCUACCAAGCCGACGAUCCAUAGCUGGUUUGAGAGGAUGAUCAGCCACACUGGGACUGAGACACGGCCCAGACUCCUACG
rnacentral:rRNA from 1 species